rfam:Prunus persica cultivar Lovell chromosome G3, whole genome shotgun sequence.
UUGGGAGCUCAUUGACUUCGGAGUCAUUGGAACUCCAAAGUUAAGCGAGUUGGAGCUAGAGCAAUCCCAAUAUGGGUGACCCACUGGGAAGUUACUCGUGAGUUCCCAUA